rnacentral:rRNA from 1 species
AUACGGAGGAUCCGAGCGUUAUCCGGAUUUAUUGGGUUUAAAGGGAGCGUAGGCGGACGCUUAAGUCAGUUGUGAAAGUUUGCGGCUCAACCGUAAAAUUGCAGUUGAUACUGGGUGUCUUGAGUACAGUAGAGGCAGGCGGAAUUCGUGGGGUAGCGGGGAAAUGCUUAGAUAUCACGAAGAACUCCGAUUGCGAAGGCAGCCUGCUGGACUGUAACUGACGCUGAUGCUCGAAAGUGUGGGUAUCAAACAGGAUUAGAUACCCUGGUAGUCCGCACAGUAAACGAUGAAUACUCGCUGUUUGCGAUACACUGUAAGCGGCCAAGCGAAAGCGUUAAGUAUUCCACCUGGGGAGUACGCCGGCAACGGUGAAACUCAAAGGAAUUGACGGGG